rfam:Pan troglodytes isolate Yerkes chimp pedigree #C0471 (Clint) chromosome 1, whole genome shotgun sequence.
GCUGAGCAUGGUGGUGUGUGCCUGUAGUCCCAGCUACUUGGGAGGCUGAGGCAGAAGAAUCACUUGAACCCAGGAGGUGGAGUUUGCAGUGAGCCGAGAUCGCACCACUGCACUCCAGCCUGGGUGACAGAGUGAGACUCUGUCUCAA